CUCAUAUCUAGAUCUCUUCCAUAUAUACACAUUGAAUUAGCAUAAUCUUCUAUACAAGAGCAAAGAUGAAAAGCUCCUCAAUCCCUCUCAUAUUUUUUCUUGUUCUCCUUACAACUACAGGUAAUGAGCUACAAAUAGUGGAUGCUAAAACUUGUGGUGAUUUGUUAGUCCCUAUACAUGGUGGUUGUAAGAACGACACUUGUACCAUAGCUUGCGUAGAGAAGUAUGGACUCAAUGCUUCAGGGAGUUGUAUUGUUUUUCACCUUUAUUGUCACUGUACCUACCCUUGUUAAUUCUUAUAAUGUCUUAAUAUGAUUGAUAAUAAAGAUUUAAAAAGGGUGAUUUUAUUGACACCCCAUUUUAAUAA